UACGGGGGGGGCAAGCGUUGUUCGGAAUUACUGGGCGUAAAGGGCUCGUAGGCGGCCAACUAAGUCGGAUGUGAAAUCCCCAGGCUCAACUUGGGAACUGCAUCCGAUACUGGAUGGCUUGAAUUCGGGAGAGGGAUGCAGAAUUCCAGGUGUAACGGUGAAAUGCGUAGAUAUCUGGAGGAAUACCGGUGGCGAAGGCGGCAUCCUGGACCGACAUUGACGCUGAGGAGCGAAAGCUAGGGGAGCAAACGGG
rnacentral:rRNA from 1 species